GCCGCCGGGCGCCGCGCUCUGUAGUCCUGGUCUGCGCGCCUUUUCCUGUUGCUGCGGCUGUCGCCUUCCUCACCGUCGCCCGUGCCCCUUCUCUGGUCUGUGGUGUAGCCGGGACCCAGGACCAUGUCGCUUUCACGCUCGGAGGAGAUGCACCGGCUCACGGAAAAUGUCUACAAGACCAUCAUGGAGCAGUUCAACCCCAGCCUCCGCAACUUCAUCGCCAUGGGGAAGAACUAUGAGAAAGCGCUGGCAGGUGUCACCUUCGCUGCCAAAGGCUAUUUCGACGCUCUCGUAAAGAUGGGGGAGCUGGCCAGCGAGAGCCAGGGCUCCAAGGAACUUGGGGAUGUCCUCUUCCAGAUGGCUGAAGUCCACCGGCAGAUCCAGAACCAGCUGGAGGAGAUGCUGAAGUCUUUUCACAAUGAGCUGCUCACACAGCUGGAACAGAAGGUCGAGCUGGACUCCAGGUAUCUGAGUGCUGCACUGAAGAAAUACCAAACAGAACAGAGGAGCAAAGGUGACGCCCUGGACAAGUGUCAGGCUGAACUGAAAAAGCUACGCAAGAAGAGCCAAGGGAGCAAGAACCCUCAGAAGUACUCGGACAAGGAGCUGCAGUACAUCGAUGCCAUCAGCAACAAGCAAGGUGAGCUGGAGAACUACGUGUCUGACGGCUACAAGACAGCGCUCACUGAGGAGCGCAGGAGGUUCUGCUUCCUGGUGGAGAAGCAGUGUGCUGUGGCCAAGAAUUCUGCUGCCUACCACUCCAAGGGCAAGGAGUUGCUAGCCCAGAAGCUGCCUCUGUGGCAGCAAGCCUGUGCUGACCCCAACAAGAUUCCAGACCGCGCUGUCCAGCUGAUGCAGCAGAUAGCCAGCAGCAAUGGCUCCAUCCUUCCUAGUGCCCUGUCAGCCUCCAAGUCCAACCUGGUCAUCUCAGACCCCAUUCCUGGAGCCAAACCCCUGCCAGUGCCACCUGAGCUGGCACCGUUUGUGGGGCGGAUGUCUGCUCAGGAGAAUGUACCUGUCAUGAAUGGCGUCGCAGGCCCGGACAGCGAGGACUACAACCCCUGGGCUGACCGCAAGGCUGCCCAGCCCAAAUCCCUGUCUCCUCCGCAGUCUCAAAGCAAGCUGAGCGACUCGUACUCCAACACACUCCCCGUGCGCAAGAGCGUGACCCCGAAGAACAGCUAUGCCACCACUGAGAAUAAGACGCUACCACGUUCGAGCUCCAUGGCAGCUGGCCUAGAACGUAACGGCCGCAUGCGGGUCAAGGCCAUUUUCUCCCACGCGGCCGGUGACAACAGCACUCUGCUGAGCUUCAAGGAGGGCGACCUCAUCACACUGCUAGUGCCUGAGGCCCGUGAUGGCUGGCACUAUGGCGAGAGCGAGAAGACCAAGAUGCGUGGCUGGUUUCCCUUCUCCUACACUCGGGUCCUGGACAGCGAUGGAAGUGACAGGUUGCACAUGAGCCUGCAGCAAGGCAAGAGCAGCAGCACAGGCAACCUUCUGGACAAGGACGACCUGGCCAUCCCUCCUCCUGACUACGGCACGUCCUCCCGGGCCUUCCCCACCCAGACAGCGGGGACGUUCAAGCAGAGACCCUACAGUGUGGCAGUGCCUGCCUUCUCUCAGGGUCUGGAUGACUAUGGGGCACGGUCUGUGAGCAGUGCUGAUGUCGAAGUGGCCAGAUUUUGAGCUGCCCCUGACUAGCGUUAGUAAGUUGCCCUGGUUUUGUGUCCAUCUGUGUGCAUCUGCAGUGGUUAUGGCUGGGUCCUUCGGCCUGAGUCUGCACAGCCUCCACAGGAGGGGUCUGCUGCCUGGCAGGGCCUGGGCUCUGCCAAGUUGCCUUGCUCUGGGCGCUGGACCUUCCUUCCCCUGGUUCCUCCUCGGCUUGUGGUUCUCCUGCCUUCCUUCUGCCUGGAGGCUUGUGGUUCUAACUCUGCCCCUUCACUGCCUUUGCUGCCAGACACGGGGCUGGCCCAGAUCUGUUCUCUCCUGCUCUGCUGGGUGCUUCACCACAGUCAAAGGGAGACCCAGGGGAACAGCCGCCCCCCGUCACUCAGCAUAUACCUGGGUGUCCCCUGGGGUGUCGUGGGUGUUGGUCAUGAGCCCAGCUGUUGAGUGCCGCAGCUGAACCAAGCCUGGGCCUAGCGUCAGGUGGACCUCUGUCAUCAGAUCUUGCCUCUUCUGGUUCCCUCCACUUCCUCACAUGGCUACAAGACACUACUAGCCAGGCUGCUUUUUCCCUUGGUGCUGGAGAAGUGGACCAACAUGGAGGAGGGCACUCUUCACAGUGCCUGCCAUAGUGGAAGGGGCUUUUAUUCCCUUCCCACACUACGGAGGGGUGGCAUGAGAAGCCAGGACCUGUGUUCCUUAACAGGAGUGGUCAUUAUCUCCCUGAGAGUCACGGUGAUGUAUCCUAGCCCAUGGGCAGCCAGGCCACUCAGGCAGACCCAGAAUACCUUUUCCUGUUGUUACCAUCUUCCUGGGGAUCUGUGAUGUGAAUUCUGUAGGAGUUCUGCUGAAGUUUACAGAGAGGGUGAAAUGCCCUUGGCUGACUCUGGGCUGGCCACCUUUCUCUGGCCUCCAUCUGCACACCCAAGAUGUUCUUUGGGUGGGAGGCCUACAUUUCCUGCCCAAGCCUGCCAGACCCCACACCUUACUGCCCUCUGGGUCCCACUAAGCCAGUUAGGGGCCAUGUCAUCCUCACCUGCAGAGGCAUGAGAAAAGGCUCGGAAGGCUGGUGCAGCCCUUCCUGGGACCAAGUUGUGCUAGGACCAGGACUUGGGUGUGACAGGCACAGGACAGAAUAGGUUUGCAGACCCUGAACGUGUCCCGGCCACAGUCUGCCUUGCCUUGCGGCUCACCUAGCUGAGAGUGAAGGGGGUGUUCCAAAGCACUCACACACAGCUUCACCCUGAAUUUAGGACUGCAGGAGGGUUGCUACCACACUUGGCUUGGUUCUGGGGGGUGCCCUAGCCCUGUGUAGGUAGAAGAAAUGGAAACCCACAGGUAUGCACAGGUCCUCCAUGAGGACUUGUCCUCGGUGGUGGCCAGCCUCUCAUUGCCUGGCUGUUGAGGAAAAUAGUAAAGAUGGAGCUGGGAAGGCAGGCUGUGCUGCUGCAGGGGGUUGAGCCUCUCCAGGUUUCUGGUCACAGCGUUGUCCAUCGAUGGGUGUCUGCAGAGCUGGGGAGAGAGCUGACACUGGCUGUUACCCAGCUGGUGUCCCACCAUGCUGCCUCAGCCAACUCCAUCCUGCAUAAAUGCCGUUUGUCAUUCCUGGAUCCCAGGCCUGGAUGCCUGGUCCUCCUUUUCUGUUGGUGCAGGUUCUGUUGUUGAGACCUGCCAAUGUUGGUGAUAGUUUCUGCUGGGCACAGCAUGUGCUGGCCAUGUCCCCCGCAGGUUAAUUUCACUAGUCUGCUGAGUGUCUUUGAAAGGAAGCAUGUCCCUGGAUUCUGCUAAUGGGAACAUGUACAGAGCAAGACUUUGCUGUGGCUUUGGCAUCUGUGGAUGGUUCUCUGUGCUCCAAAUGGCCCCAUGGCUUUGGGGGGUGAGAGAAGAAAGAGUUUGAGAACAGAGGGCCUCUUGGGUGGGGCACUCUGGAUCUGAAUUUCCAUUCUAGUACUAGCUGGUGAUAGAUUCUUUCGGUGAGUUAAGGAGCAAGGCAAAUGGACAGGAAUAAGGCAUGUUCUGCAAAUACCUCAGCCAUUCUGCUCAGGCCUGGUCCCACGAUAACCCUGCCCUGGGACCUGGGGCAACCUGCUCGUUGCUCUGCUCUGUCCCAUUCCCUCAACAGAAAGACCUGUCCUCAUUCCAAGUGUCCCCAGGGCUGUUGCCUUUGCCGGGCUUGAGAGCCCUUCUGUAGAAUCUGGAGUGGGCCAAGGACAGCCUGGCCAUGCCGGAGGCUGCAGCUAACACCCUUGCUGUAAUGGCAGGGUCUGUAUCUCACGCCUCAAACAGCCACAGUGAGGGCUGCAGAGCAGAGGAGCCCAGCAGGGGGCAGAGCUCACGCUGCAGGCAGAGCUGACGGUGGCCCCCAAUCUCUGGCUCUCAGCAGAGGUGAGCAGUGACAGACACCAAACCCCACAGCCACCAGGGACCUGUGCCUCGCUGUACUUCAUUAAAACUUCACAGUCCGAGUGUUUCAGACUUUUAGAAAAUGUAAUCUUCAGGAAAAUGUAGGGUGAGACUCUACCUAUGUAGGUCUUCCUGGGGACCCUGAAUGGAGAGCCUGCUCGCCCACCCUGGGCCUACCAUCAACCCCCAGGCUUCUGAGAACCCACCAGGCACAGAGGUGACCCAUUCCAGGAAUCCCUUCGCCAACGUCCAUCUGAAGCCAACAGUGACCAAUGACAGAUCAGCCCCUCUGCUCAGCUGACGGGCUCAUCUGCAUCCCCGCGCACACAACCGAGGGUAACUGCGGUGUGUCCCUUUCUGGAGAAGACAGCCUUGCCCCACUCCCUAACAUGGCCUCGCAUCAGCCCAGCCUGGGCUGGAUCCCAGGUGUCCUGGGGAGGUGGCUGCCUCAAGAGGUCAAUGCCCGCUGGCCAUGGGUGUGCCCCAACAGAGGGGCCAGCAUCGAGGGGGCAGGCAUCUCUGAUCCCAACUGUGGAACCUUGAGUCCCUCUGAAUACAGAAGAGGACAUUCUGUCAGCUUGUAGCUGGAAGGGAUCCUGUUCCCAUGCUGAUUUUUUUUAUUUUUAAUUUUUUUAGCUCACAUGUGUCUGGUCAAUAAACAUGCCCACCUGUG